UACAGCCGUGGUCAUAUUUAUUAAAAACAAUGGGAGACUCAGCGGAACUUUACAAUUAUUCAAGAACCGACACAUUUGUAUUAUUUUGUAGUCGUACAACCAUAAUUUCAUUGUAACGUGUUUCAAAGUUUUAUUCCAUGUUUUUCAUCAGACAGUUCAUUAAAUCCCAGGGAGACAGUAGACAGCCUGGAGAUGACAUGAACCUGAGGUUCUGUGAACCUUAGCCUAAGAUGCUCACAGCUUCCAUGUUCACAAGUUGCAGACCAUGAAGGUGUGAUGGUGUGACGGCAUGACUACACCAUGUACUUGGUGAAAUCGGCAAUGCUGCUAAGUGUCUCUCUGAGAAAGUUGGAGUCGUCUUUUGUGCGUCUGAACUCGACCGGAACCUGCUUCAUCCACAGCUGCUUUCCUGCUUUGUAAGGACGAACAGGCUACGCAAAUCCACCAUCAUUCAGACGCUGAUCUUUUAUCCCCUGCUGCCAAUUCCCAGAUUUCUCCGCUCUUCGGUUAGGUGUUGAUUAUUCUAGAACAUGCCAGAUUGCCUACUCCUACGUGAUUCUGACAGUGCUAUGUAAACUCGUGUUUGUAAAUACUAAAAGCCAUUUAUUCUGUACAUGAAGAAUACAUAUCUCGAAGAAAUAUUGCUAUUGAUUUCUAUUUAUACUCGAUUUGUAUUAAACGUAUUUGGAACGUUAAACAAGAUACUUUGUAGACCCACCAGAGUGAAACUGCCUGUUUAACCCUUCAAUAAACACCUUCGGACUCA